rnacentral:lncRNA from 1 species
CAUAUCAUCCCUGCCCAUUAGAGUGAACAAUAUUAGCAAAGGCACUGAGAAGGAAUAAUCUUGGCCUGUUUAUCGAACGGGACUAUUCAUUUCCCUGGCUACGAGGAUUUUAAAAAGCAAGAAGAAAUUUAUUGGCAGAUCUGAUCACCCUUAUGAGAGAGCAAUCAAGUAAGACAGCAUGUAGCCCCUGGAAAUUGCUGGAAAUCAUCAUGUGGCCCUAAGGAGUGCCAGCCUAACGAUGAAGCAGAAAGAGGGAUGGCGAGAUGACUGAACUGUUGAGUCAAGUCACAUCCAAAGCCCAUGUGGCCUCUGAUCUUUUCAGAUAAAUGAGUUAUUAAAUAUUUUAUUUAAACCAGUGAAA